CAAGAGAAACAAACAUAUUCAUUUUUAAUUUUAAUCAAAAUAAAACUACAAUUUUCUAAUUUUUCAGAAUUCAAUAGGAUAUCCCGUUCUUAUACUCCAAAAGAACAAUCUAGAGCCUGCCUAAUUAGGAAUCAUGUUACAAGCCCAGAAGCCCAAAGAGUGAACCAACAAAACGACAACACAUGCAGUAGAUCAUAUAAGAUUCACAACAUUCAAAGUUCAAACCAUCUCCUUCUUCACGAACUGAAAAAGGAUCAAGCAAGAACCCUAAACCCCAAACCCAAUCAACCAGAACCUUCUAGCGGCGAGAAAUGUCCUCCUCGCCUCAACUCCUUCUCUUCUCUUCUGUUCGGAAACCACUGGAAUUCGUGAAUGUUCGAUCCUGAGAAGAACAUCGUGAUUCGACACUCAUGGACUUGCUUUCUGAAAGUUUGCUGAAGUACAUGUAUGAUGUAUGUUUCUUUUCUUGCUGGAUGCUUCCGCUCAGUACGUUUUGGUUUAGAAGAAACUCAUGAAAAGGACAAGCAUUGCAGUUCAACUGGUUUUGUGAGAAAAAAGCCCUUGUCUUGCUUCAUGAAGAUACAUAUUCUGUUGAUUUUUCCAAGGUUGAAGUGCAACUGAAUGCCUGAGCAGGGAGAUACUCACUAUACAAGCAAAAGCUGAUAAAGAGGCGGCUGGUUUACUUCUUCAGAAAUACAGUGUGAUGACUGAUGACAGAACCACUACAAGUUGCUCUGGAAAAUUUGGAGAAUAUUUAGUUAUUAGUAGACCAUCACCAUAGUAUUCUGUUAGCUUCUCUGCUGUAUCAAGCUAAAGAUGAUUAAAUUAUAGUGCCUUGAGAGGCUUUGUACCAACAUAAAAAACGAGUUUCACUGUUUUCAGAUUACAAAAUCUCAAUUAGUUGUCCCAAACUCCAGAAAGCGGGUCACAAGUAUACCUUGUUUAUAAAUUUUCAUGUCAAA